rnacentral:rRNA from 1 species
CCUACGGGAGGCUGCAGUGGGGAAUUUUGGACAAUGGGCGCAAGCCUGAUCCAGCCAUUCCGCGUGCAGGAUGAAGGCCCUCGGGUUGUAAACUGCUUUUGUACGGAACGAAAAGCCUUCUUCUAAUACAGGAGGGUCAUGACGGUACCGUAAGAAUAAGCACCGGCUAACUACGUGCCAGCAGCCGCGGUAAUACGUAGGGUGCAAGCGUUAAUCGGAAUUACUGGGCGUAAAGCGUGCGCAGGCGGUUAUGUAAGACAGAUGUGAAAUCCCCG